rnacentral:rRNA from 1 species
ACGGGUGGAGUUGAACUGUGAUCUCUGUGAAUUUAGCUGGUGAGCAUGGUUUGGGCUUGGUCAAAUUGGUUGAAGCCGGGAAUCUGCGUAGCAGCAGGUCCUCACCUUCUGGUGGGGAUGCGCGGUGCACUUAUCAAGUGUUGCGCGUUCCAUGUUUUUCGUGCCAGCUUGCCAGUGCACUUUUGCAGAGUGGUCACCACGACCGGCAUUGCUGUCUGGCUGUUGUGGUUAAACCGGCCUUCCUUUGUCCUUGUGGCUUUGGAUUGUCGGGAUGGCAGGUAACUCGCUUGCUUUGCUUGUGGUUCGCUGCAGGUUUUGGCUCUCGGGUGUAAUCGGCUGACCGCAUCGGUUCUGUGCAGUAUGUCGGAGAUGGCGGCUUGUGGUACAUGCGUGCGUGCCAGUUGGCUGGCGUGUCCGUGUUUGGUUGUCAUGUUGCUUGUGUAAACAGGCCUGGCGAUAGCUCGGAUUCGUUUGGCUGGCGGUUGU